GGGAAAGGGCAGGGCAUGCAAAUUCGAAAUGAAAGCCCGGAAACCCCGGAACUAGAACUGGUAUCUCUUCAACUACCUGUGAAAACUGAUGUGAUGAAAAGGGGAAUUUGAAGGAGCCAUUCCAGAAGACAGGGCGAAAACUGAAGUGCAAUCAGGGCCAAGAAAAACAGAAAUAGCAGGACCUGGAGUUGCAUAGGUUGAAUAGUUGAAUAGGCUGCUCUCCUCAGCUGGCAGGAAACCUGGCAGCCUCCUGGUGCCCAAGGACUGAAAACCUUAGAAGCACCUGGAGUUGGCAGCCUUGGCAUGGUCAGGUUGGCACCUCUGGAGGUGCCCAGGCUUCCCUGGCAGCAUUGUGAGCAGUGGAUGGUGUUGAAGGGCAGCCAGAGGAGGAAUGGAACACAUGCUCCUUGCUAACCACACGGACAAGGCCACGUUCACAGGUACACAAAGGCAACGCAGUUGCUCAGGUGCUUCGGUAUCACAGCCAAGACCCCUUCGGGGGAAGCUAGUCGGAUACUGGGACCCACAUUCCAGACUACUGAGCCGCGGUCGCGCCCUCGGCUCCGUUUCUGCUCCCUCCACCCCACGAGGACGGGGGUGGAAGGCCACCUUCGAUGGGUGCAUCCUCCACGAUGACCUGCUAACAAAGGUGCAUGGAUUUCAGAGUCUGAUUGGCCUACAACAGCAUUUGGCUUGUGGAGACAGUGGUUCCCUGAUGAAAAACUGCCAUGAUGGGAAUAGAAACAAUCAGAGGAAACUUCCGUGAGUUCCCAGGACACAUCCACCCACCUCCUCCACGUGUAACCACCACCUCUACCUUCCCCUCUGGUGCUGUGGAUGAGCCAUCCGUGCUCCUGGCAAAGGCCCACCUGCCACUUGGGCACAGGAACCCAUCCAUCCCUCCUUACCUCUGGUAACUCUCCCUCUCUCUCUCCUGCAUCCUUCAUAUUCUCUGGGUUGUAUUCUCUUCCAGCCCCCACCCCCUGCCCACCUCCAGCAUGUAAAAGUGCUGUUAUUGUUUCCACUUUAAAACAAACCCUAAAAAUAAGUAAAUAAAAUAAACCCUACCCUGACCCCACUUCA
rnacentral:lncRNA from 1 species